rnacentral:rRNA from 1 species
AGUGGCGGACGGGUGAGUAACGCGUGAGAAUCUGCCUUUAGGACGGGAACAACAACUGGAAACGGUUGCUAAAGCCCGAUGUGCCCUUCGGGGUGAAAUACUUGUAGCCUGAAGAUGAGCUCGCGUCAGAUUAGCUAGUUGGUUAGGUAACGGCUGACCAAGGCGACGAUCUGUAACUGGUCUGAGAGGAUGACCAGUCACACUGGGACUGAGACACGGCCCAGACUCNUACGGGAGGCAGCAGUGGGGAAUUUUCCGCAAUGGGCGAAAGCCUGACGGAGCAAUACCGCGUGAGGGAGGAAGGCUCUUGGGUCGUAAACCUCUUUUAUCAGGGAAGAAACAAAUGACGGUACCUGAUGAAUCAGCAUCGGCUAACUCCGUGCCAGCAGCCGCGGUAAUACGGAGGAUGCAAGCGUUAUCCGGAAUUAUUGGGCGUAAAGCGUCCGCAGGUGGUUUUGAAAGUUUGCUGUCAAAGCGCGGAGCUUAACUUCGUACCGGCAGUGAAAACUCCAAGACUAGAGUUUGGUAGGGGUCACGGGAAUUCCCAGUGUAGCGGUGAAAUGCGUAGAGAUUGGGAAGAACACCAGCGGCGAAAGCGCGUGACUGGGCCUGAACUGACACUCAUGGACGAAAGCUAGGGGAGCGAAAGGGAUUAGAUACCCCUGUAGUCCUAGCCGUAAACGAUGACAACUAGGUGUUGCCCGUAUCGACCCGGGCAGUGCCGUAGCCAACGCGUUAAGUUGUCCGCCUGGGGAGUACGCACGCAAGUGUGAAACUCAAAGGAAUUGACGGGGGCCCGCACAAGCGGUGGAGUAUGUGGUUUAAUUCGAUGCAACGCGAAGAACCUUACCAAGGCUUGACAUGUCGCGAAUCUCGGUGAAAGUCGAGAGUGCNUUCGGGAGCGCGAACACAGGUGGUGCAU